GAUGAACGCUGGCGGCGUGCCUAAUACAUGCAAGUCGAGCGAAUGGAUUAAGAGCUUGCUCUUAUGAAGUUAGCGGCGGACGGGUGAGUAACACGUGGGUAACCUGCCCAUAAGACUGGGAUAACUCCGGGAAACCGGGGCUAAUACCGGAUAACAUUUUGAACCGCAUGGUUCGAAAUUGAACGGCGGCUUCGGCUGUCACUUAUGGAUGGACCCGGGUCGCAUUAGCUAGUUGGUGAGGUAACGGCUCACCAAGGCAACGAUGGGUAGCCGACCUGAGAGGGUGAUCGGCCACACUGGGACUGAGACACGGCCCAGACUACUACGGGAGGCAGCAGUAGGGAAUCUUCCGCAAUGGACGAAAGUCUGACGGAGCAACGCCGCGUGAGUGAUGAAGGCUUUCGGGUCGUAAAACUCUGUUGUUAGGGAAGAACAAGUGCUAGUUGAAUAAGCUGGCACCUUGACGGUACCUAACCAGAAAGCCACGGCUAACUACGUGCCAGCCGCCGCGGUAA
rnacentral:rRNA from 1 species